UACAGACUUGCUCACAGGCUAAAACAUCCCUCGCAUUAAAACAAUGUCAAUUAGCAUUAUAUCUUUCGUUUAGCGAAAGUAUUAUUUUACCCCUCAAACACGGGGAGUAGAUCGUCGUCUGUAUCGGAAUCAUAGACAUGUUCAUUCAAUCUGUCGCAAGCUCCAACUGAUUUUGUAACCCUUUUCCAGGCAGUCUUGUUGGCAUUGCACAGUUGUUGGUCUUGUUAUAUCAAGCAAAGUAGCCAAUAACAAGUUACUGUUCUCACGGCAAUCUACGAUUGUGUUUGUGCAGAGCGGCUUUUGUUUUUUUCUUAAUACAAUGCAGGGAAGUAGCCAAUAGAGGUUCAUUGUUCUAACGGCAAUCAACAGUUUCCAUUGAGUUAACUGACAGCUCAGUGUUUGGACAGAGUGAUAUUUGUUUUCUCUUGCUACAAAGUAGCGAAGCAGCCCAUUUAAAGUCACUAUUCUCACGUAGUUGCCGAUUUUCCAGCUACCGAUUUUUCAAACUACUUCAGUCACCUGGAGCAAGUCGGUAAUUUUGCGCAAAGUCCGUAAUGAAAAAGAAACUCUGUCCCACCGGCGCCCCGCAACAAGGGCACACUUGCCCUAGGGACUCCCACGCAAAAUGUCAGCAAGCUGUUUUUUCUUUGGCGACAAUUUUUUAUUUUAUGUAUAUGUUUGUGUAUUUAAAAAUAAAUAAAAAAAAAAAACCGGUCCGCCGAGGUCCGGUCCGCGUAGGUCCGUGAAGGUCCGGUCUUCAUUUUACAGAGACCCGCUCUUAUUGAUAAAAUUUCAGCAGUAAUCAAGCAGUGCUCAUGUGCACACAACUAAUAUGCAGAUAAACGUAAAUAUACAAUUUUUACUCUUACGCCUAAGUUCUUUACCAAAUCAUCAGAUGUUUUUGAAAAUAGACAAACAAGACAUGAUAUCGACUUUUUAUCAAAUAUGGUUUUCUAAUAAAGAAAGACUAAGACUCAAAACUGUCUGUUCUUAUGGGGAUUAGGAUACCUGUGGAAAGUCACGCAUUCUCAUCUGGCAGACGGCUGAUCAGUUGUUGUCAUUUGAAACCAGACUCGUGUUCAAGUACUUGACCUUUACAUUGAAAUUAAUCUUACAAAUCGGCCUUUUCCCUAGAAACCUCUUGACAGAAGUAACUUCCAAGGAUGAACCAAGACUAUUAUACAGCAUC